rnacentral:lncRNA from 1 species
UAAUGUGGAAAAUACUUUGAAAUCUUAGAAAAUAACAUAGAUUUGAAGUAGAUCUUAAAGAGAAACAAAUAAGAAAAACCUCGGAGACUUAGGGUUUCGGAGAAAACCCCUACAGAAUGAGAAAGGCCAUGGAAAGGGCUGGUCCUGAGUCAGAGGUGGACUCACAGGCUAGAACUUGCUGAAAAUGGCCAUAAAAACUCAAAUCGGAGGAUUUUUGAACCGGGGAUCUUCAAGUUCAGGCCAUGGAUCAAUGAAUAAUGAGAGGAUAAGGGUGAGUGGUGGUGGAUAUGGGUUACACAGGGCCUUGGAAGCCAUGGUUUCCGGUGAAACAAGGUCGGGAAUUGGUUGGAGAAGGUUAGGGUUUCAGAGGGUUGUUAAGAGCAUUUGAGAGGCAAAAAGGGGUUCAAAGGUGGC